CCGGGGGCUCGCGCCCCCGGCCAAGUUGUGCCGCUCCUUCGGAGCU
rnacentral:sRNA from 1 species